CUAUAGCGUAGUGAAUCAUCGAAUCUUUGAACGCACCUUGCACUUUCAGGGUCAACUUGAAAGUAUACCUGUUUGAGUAUCAUAAACAUUUAUCCUAUGCAUUACUGUAUGGGGAUUUGAAAUUUCAAUUUCUUACGAGAUUGUAUUUCUAAAUGUAUUAAAGAGUAACAAAGUAAAGAGCACUUUUAUUUUGGAUGAGGAUAUUUACUCUUGUAGUAAAGAAUCAAACUUGAUAAAUGAAAGCAUUACUGGACUCUUUUUUCUGUUUGUAGAUUUUGAGUGAUUGUGAUUUUGAAUGAUUUUGAAUCAUUUUUGAAUCAAUCAUUUUUACUCAAACAUCAAUCACACAAAUACCCGCACAAAUGUGAUCUCAAAUCAGGCAAGAUUACCCGCUGAACUUAAGCAUAUCAAUAAGCGGAGG
rnacentral:rRNA from 1 species